rnacentral:rRNA from 1 species
AGAAUUUGAUCUUGGUUCAGAUUGAAUGCUGACGGCGUGGAUGAGGCAUGCAAGUCGAACGAAGCAGUAGCAAUACUGCUUAGUGGCGGAAGGGUUAGUAAGACAUGGGUAACUUGCCUUUAACAGUGGAAUAACGGUUGGAAACGACCGCUAAUACUACAUGUGGUGAUACAGGGCAUCCUGUAUUCAUUAAAGUGGGGGAUCGCAAGACCUUGCGGUUAAAGAGAGGCCCAUGAGAUAUCAGCUAGUUGGUGUGGUAAAGGCGCACCAAGGCUAAGACGUCUAGGCGGAUUGAGAGAUUGACCGCCAACACUGGGACUGAGAACUGCCCAGACUCCUACGGGAGGCUGCAGUCGAGAAUCAUUCGCAAUGGGCGCAAGCCUGACGAUGCGACGCCGUGUGAGCGAUGAAGGCCUUAGGGUCGUAAAGCUCUUUCGCUUGGGAACAAGAGAAGCAGGUUAAUACCCUGCUGAUUUGAGGGUACCAGGUAAAGAAGCACCGGCUAAAUCCGUGCCAGCAGCCGCGGUAAUACGGAGGGUGCAAGCAUUAAUCGGAUUUAUUGGGCGUAAAGGGCGCGUAGGCGGGAAGAUAAGUCAGAUGUGAAAUCCCGGGGCUCAACCCCGGAACAGCAUUUGAAACUGUUUUUCUAGAGGCUAGAUGGAGAAAACGGAAUUCCACAAGUAGCGGUGAAAUGCGUAGAUAUGUGGAGGAACACCGAUGGCGAAGGCAGCCCCCUGGGCCGAUACUGACGCUCAUGCACGAAAGCGUGGGGAGCAAACAGGAUUAGAUACCCUGGUAGUCCACGCCCUAAACGAUGUCAACUAGGUGUUGGGUGGGUAAAACCAUUUAGUACCGUAGCUAACGCGUGAAGUUGACCGCCUGGGGAGUACGGUCGCA